rnacentral:rRNA from 1 species
GUGGCCCGGCAAGUCUGCUGUCAAAGACCACAGCUCAACUGUGGAAAGGCAGUGGAAACUGCAAGGCUAGAGUGCGGUAGGGGUAGAGGGAAUUCCCAGUGUAGCGGUGAAAUGCGUAGAGAUUGGGAAGAACACCGGUGGCGAAAGCGCUCUACUGGGCCGCAACUGACACUGAUGGACGAAAGCUAGGGGAGCGAAUGGGAUUAGAUACCCCAGUAGUCCUAGCUGUAAACGAUGGAAACUAGGUGUAGCACGUAUCGACCCGUGCUGUAUCGGAGCUAACGCGUUAAGUUUCCCGCCUGGGGAGUACGCACGCAAGUGUGAAACUCAAAGGAAUUGACGGGGGCCCGCACAAGCGGUGGAGUAUGUGGUUUAAUUCGAUGCAACGCGAAGAACCUUACCAGGGCUUGACAUGUCCGGAACCUCUGUGAAAGCAGAGGGUGCCUUCGGGAGCCGGAACACAGGUGGUGGAGGGGGGGGGGCCCCUCGCGUCGUGAGAUGUUGGGUUAAGUCCCGCAACGAGCGCAACCCUCGUCCUUAGUUGCCAGCAUUUUGUAUGGGCACUCUAGGUAGACUGCCGGCGACAAACCCGAGGGGGGGGGGGGGGACGGCACGUAACCCUGCCCCUUUCGCGGGGGGGGACCCCCGUUCUACAGUGGUGGGGAAAAAAAGCGCCCCACCCCCGAGGGCGAGCUAAUCUCAUAAACCACGGCUCAGUUCAGAUCGCAGGCUGCAACUCGCCUGCGUGAAGGCGGAAUCGCUAGUAAUCGCCGGUCAGCAUACGGCGGUGAAUCCGUUCCCGGGCCUUGUACACACCGCCCGUCACACCAUGGGAGCUGGCCACGCCCGAAGUCGUUACUCCAACCGUUCGCGGAGGAGGAC